rnacentral:rRNA from 1 species
UACGUAGGGGGCGAGCGUUGUCCGGAGUUACUGGGCGUAAAGGGCGCGCAGGCGGCUACGCACGUCCGUUGUGAAAUCGCUCGGCUCAACUGGGCGGGGUCAGCGGAUACGGCGUAGCUGGAGCAAGCUAGGGGGCAAUGGAAUUCCCGGUGUAGUGGUGGAAUGCGUAGAUAUCGGGAGGAACACCAGUGGCGAAGGCGGUUGCCUGGAGCUUUGCUGACGCUGAGGCGCGAAAGCGUGGGGAGCGAUCCGG